UCUCCGUUGUGAACCAGCGGAGGGAUCAUUACAGGACUCGCAAGACUCCUACAACCCUGUGAACUUAACUAUAAGCACGUUGCUUCGGCGGGUGUCUCGGAGGGGGUUCUCCCUCCCCGAGACGCUAAACCCGCCGGCAGCCUACUAUACUCUGUCUCUUUGCGUUGGCAUCUCGAGUACAAUCAAACAAGUUAAAACUUUCAACAACGGAUCUCUUGGUUCUG
rnacentral:misc_RNA from 1 species